UACGUAGGGGGCGAGCGUUGUCCGGAUUCAUUGGGCGUAAAGAGCUCGUAGGCGGUUCGGUAAGUCGGGUGUGAAAUCUCCGUGCUCAACACGGAGCGGCCACCUGAUACUGCCGUGACUCGAGUCCGGUAGGGGAGUGUGGAAUUCCCGGUGUAGCGGUGAAAUGCGCAGAUAUCAGGAGGAACACCGGUGGCGAAGGCGGGUCUCUGGGCCGAUAUUGACGCUGAGGAGCGAAAGCGUGGGGAGCAAACAGG
rnacentral:rRNA from 1 species